GUAGGUGAACCUGCGGAAGGAUCAUUAUCACAUGAAUCCAUGUAUAAACCAUUGUGCAUCGUCACCCCCUCUGGAUCGCUUGAAAUCGGAAACGAGAGAAACGUUAUAACGGUCACUAUUGUAAUUUGAAGACCCAGUUUCUCUCCAGGAUUCGUCCGCUGAUUUCUAACUUAUGAUCUAGAGUGUAAUUCAAAUUUACAUAACUUAUUGAUUAACAAUUGAAACCCCUUUUAAACUUUUGAACUAAUGUUUUCAUACUCCAAUAAAACGGAGAUGAAAUUCUUACGAAACAAAGAACAACUCUUAGCAACGGAUAUCUUGGUUCUC
rnacentral:misc_RNA from 1 species